AUGACCUCGGAUCAGGUAGGGAUACCCGCUGAACUUAAGCAUAUCAGUAAGCGGAGGAACC
rnacentral:rRNA from 1 species